rnacentral:tRNA from 1 species
UCCAGGGUAGCCUAGUGGACAUGGCAUCUGCCCGGUAAGCGGAACACAGUGGGUCGAUUCCCAUCCCUGGAC